GAGUUUGAUCGUGGCUCAGGAUGAACGCUGGCGGCGUGCCUAAUACAUGCAAGUCGAGCGAACGGACGAGAAGCUUGCUUCUCUGAUGUUAGCGGCGGACGGGUGAGUAACACGUGGAUAACCUACCUAUAAGACUGGGAUAACUUCGGGAAACCGGAGCUAAUACCGGAUAAUAUUUUGAACCGCAUGGUUCAAAAGUAAAAGACGGUCUUGCUGUCACUUAUAGAUGGAUCCGCGCUGCAUUAGCUAGUUGGUAAGGUAACGGCUUACCAAGGCAACGAUGCAUAGCCGACCUGAGAGGGUGAUCGGCCACACUGGAACUGAGACACGGUCCAGACUCCUACGGGAGGCAGCAGUAGGGAAUCUUCCGCAAUGGGCGAAAGCCUGACGGAGCAACGCCGCGUGAGUAAUGAAGGUCUUCGGAUCGUAAAACUCUGUUAUUAGGGAAGAACAUAUGUGUAAGUAACUGUGCACAUCUUGACGGUACCUAAUCAGAAAGCCACGGCUAACUACGUGCCAC
rnacentral:rRNA from 1 species